GGGUGGGUGGGCGCUGAGAAUCAAAAGUGAUGAGGGAUGUAGACGGGCUUUGUAAUCUGCAAAGUGUUAUGCAAAAGUCAUGGCUUGUUAUUGCCAACAGAUCGCUGAGAUCUCCGGGUGCAGGAUUCCAAGCCACAUCUGCUUUAUGCCCUUUCCUCUCUCUCUUCCUUGUGAGUCUUGUUUCUAACUCUUGUUUAUAUCCUCAUUUGUCUGUCAAUUUAUUUGCCAAAUAGUCACUGAGUAGCUGUACUGUCUGAGUCCCAGUGCUAGGCGCUGGGUAAUGGUGGUGGAAAAGCGUUGCUUGAGGAAUCACAGGUGUGUGUGUUCGUGUGCGCACACACAUGUGUAGGCAUGUCUACGUGUGUGCAUGUGCGCACGUGGUGUGUGUACUGGGGAGAGCAGGGACAGGAAUGAAGGACGCCCCUGACACCCCCCAAGCUUCAGGUCAUCUCAGACAUUGUUCUACCUGUUUAUUUACAAAAAGGUGGGCCCUCUGGCUUUCACCGAUAAUUGUAUGUGUGAAGAACUGGCAGGUCAUCAACCGUAAUAUUUUUUUCCAUUAGAAAAUGAAAAUAACCUUCAAAGGCACAGAAUUAAAAACACCAGGAAUGGAAAUCACUAGGUUUCUAACUUGGUCUGGACACAAUGGCCUGCUUCCUCCUUCUUUCUCCCCAGAGGCCCAGGCUAUUGGGCAAUUGCAGGCCAGCCCCCUUGACUCUUCCUCAUUCGGCCAGGACGCUCACUGAGCAUGAAGGCCUCUUCCAGGACUCUUCUGAACAGACUGUACACAGAUCUCGAUUUCAUCACUGCCUGGGAUUUCUCCAGGGAUGUGUGAAGAAAACAAUUUUCCUGUUGGCAUUCUUUCAUCACUGAGGCAGCCAGCAUUCGGAUUUAGAAACGGUCCCUAUCUCAGCGUGAUAGGAGAGAGGUGUGUAAGUAGACCAUUGCUAUACACGUGACCAUGAUGGCACAUGCACAGCUGAAUAGAAGCCUCAGGAGGGUGGGGCUGGUCUGCUGGGGUAGCCAAGGAGGUCUUUGCAGCACAGAAGCUUGAGCUGAGCCCUGAAAGCAGCAUGGAGUCCCCCUUGAAGGCAAGGGCUGAGCCUUGCGGCUGGAGCUCCUGCUAGCAAAUUCCCUGCCGGUUCCCUCAGAAUCCAGGCCUGAUAAGAAGGCUGACAAGGGCUGAAUGCAUCAAGCACUGAGUCUGGUGAGGCCCUGUUUAAGCACGGAUGAGCUUCGUCUCACAGAAUCUUCACAUGGACCCAAUGGGAAAGGUAUUAUUAUUAUUAUCUCUAAUUUACACAGGUGGGAACUGAGCCGCCAACUGGCUAAAUAACUUACGGAGGGGCAAAUGCUGCUGGGCAGAAGGAAGAUCAGGGGACUUAGAAUGGCCUCACCAAGAGGUGACAGUUGGACUGGCCUGGAGGGACGAGUAGAUGUUGGUCAGGGGUGAAGUAGACAUUGCAAAUGGAGGAAGGAGCAUGUGCCAUGUGGCAAUGAGGGGAGCCUGAGGAGUAGGCGGUGCCCGACCUUUCCAUAUGGCCAAGCACUGGCCCUGUGCAGGUGGUGAGGAGUGGGUGGGAGAUGGCCACCCAGGAGGACAGGCCAGUCCAUGAAGGACUUGUGUGUCCUGCCUAAGCAGCCUGACUUUGUCCUCUAAGACAGGCGGUGAGGACUCACUCAGGUGAGUUUGAGAAAUUGCUCCAGGAGGCUGUUGGGAAGUGGACUUUCCCGUGACCUGUCCUGUCCCACUGUCCCCUCAAGGUCUGCCUCCACUCCGUUGACCUUCUCUUAACAAGGGGGUGGUUGUGACUCUAGUAGGGCUCAGGAGGCACUGGGGAGGGCGUCUUGCCUCAUCUGUCCCUAGGAAAUU
rnacentral:lncRNA from 1 species